rnacentral:rRNA from 1 species
UUUCGAAUCAUUGGCUAAUGCGCGAAAGCGUGACCAUGCAAUGCCGCGUGGGGGAUGACGGCCUUCGGGUUGUAAACCCCUGUCAAUAAGGAAUAAAACCACGUGAAGAGCGUGCUUGAACUAACUUAUAGAGGAAGAGGUGGCUAACUCCGUGCCAGCAGCCGCGGUAAUACGGAGACCUCGAGCGUUACUCGGAUUCACUGGGCGUAAAGGGAGCGCAGGCGGAUCGGUAUGUCAGGUGUGAAAGCCCAGGGCUCAACUCUGGAACUGCGCCUGAAACUACCGAUCUUGAGGCUUGGAGAGGUAAGCGGAAUUCCUGGUGUAGCGGUGAAAUGCAUAGAUAUCAGGAGGAACACCCAUGGCGAAGGCAGCUUACUGGACAAGUUCUGACGCUCAGGCUCGAAAGCGUGGGUAGCGAAAGGGAUUAGAUACCCCCGUAGUCC